GACGAACGCUGGCGGCGUGCCUAAUACAUGCAAGUAGAACGCACAGUUUAUACCGUAGCUUGCUACACCAUAGACUGUGAGUUGCGAACGGGUGAGUAACGCGUAGGUAACCUGCCUGGUAGCGGGGGAUAACUAUUGGAAACGAUAGCUAAUACCGCAUAAUAUUAAUUAUUGCAUGAUAAUUAAUUGAAAGGUGCAAUUGCACCACUACCAGAUGGACCUGCGUUGUAUUAGCUAGUAGGUGAGGUAACGGCUCACCUAGGCGACGAUACAUAGCCGACCUGGGAGGGUGAUCGGCCAAACUGGGACUGGGACACGGCCCAGACUCCUACGGGAGGCAGCAGUAGGGAAUCUUCGGCAAUGGACGAAAGUCUGACCGAGCAACGCCGCGUGAGUGAAGAAGGUUUUCGGAUCGUAAAGCUCUGUUGUAAGAGAAGAAAGGGUGUGAGAGUGGAAAGUUCACACUGUGACGGUAUCUUACCAGAAAGGGACGGCUAACUACGUG
rnacentral:rRNA from 1 species